UAGAGCGGCGGACGGGUGAGUAACACGUGGACAAUCUGCCCCCCGGCCCGGGAUAGCCCAGGGAAACCUGGAUUAAUACCGGAUGAGACGGGACCCGCGAAGGCGGGACCCGGGAAAGGCGCUAGCGGCGCCGCCGGGGGGAUGACGUCUGCGUCCCAUUAGCUAGACGGCGGGGUAACGGCCCACCGUGGCGACGAUGGGUAGCCGGCCUGAGAGGGUGGACGGCCACAUUGGAACUGAGACACGGUCCAGACUCCUACGGGAGGCAGCAGCUAAGAAUCUUCCGCAAUGGGCGAAAGCCUGACGGAGCGAACCGCCGCGUGAACGAAGAAGGCCGUGAGGUUGUAAAGUUCUUUUCGGGAGGGGGAACAACCGUGGCAGGGGAAUGGCCGCGGGAUGACGUGAAUCCCGGAAUAACGCCCCGGCUAACUACGUGCCAGCCGCGGC
rnacentral:rRNA from 1 species